rnacentral:rRNA from 1 species
UUGCUCUUCAACGAGGAAUGCCUAGUAAGCGCGAGUCAUCAGCUCGCGUUGACUACGUCCCUGCCCUUUGUACACACCGCCCGUCGCUCCUACCGAUUGAAUGGUCCGGUGAAGUGUUCGGAUCGCGGCAACGGGGGCGGUUCGCCGCCCCCGACGUCGCGAGAAGUCCAUUGAACCUUAUCAUUUAGAGGAAGGAAAAGUCGUAACAAGGUUUCUGUAGGUGAACCUGCGGAAGGAUCAUUGUCGUGACCCUGACCAAAACAGACCGUGCACGCGUCAUCCAAUCCGUCGGCGACGGCAUUGUCCGUCGCUCGGCCAAUGCCUCGACCACCUCCCCUCCUCGGAGUGGGUGGGGGCUCAGGGUAAAAGAACCUACGGCGCCGAAGGCGUCAAGGAACACUGUGCCUAACCCGGGGGCAUGGCUAGCUUGCUAGUCAUCCCUCGUGUUGCAAAGCUAUUUAAUCCACACGACCCUCAGCAACGGAUAUCUCGGCUCUCGCAUCGAUGAAGAACGUAGCAAGAUGCGAUACCUGGUGUGAAUUGCAGAAUCCCGCGAACCAUCGAGUCUUUGAACGCAAGUUGCACCCGAGGCUACUCGGCCGAGGGCACGCCUGCCUGGGCGUCACGCCAAAACACGCUCCCAACCCCCUCAUCAGGAAUCAGGAUGCGGCAUCUGGUCCCUCGUCUUGCAAGGGGCGGUGGACCAAAGAUCGGGCUGCCGGCGUACCGCGCCGGACACAGCGCAUGGUGGGCGUCCUCGCUUUAUCAACACAGUGCAUCCGACGUGCAGCCGGCAUGAUGGCCUCAAAAUGACCCAGCAAACAAAGCACACGUCACUUCGACCGCGACCCCAGGUCAGGCGGGACUACCCGCUGAGUUUAAGCAUAUCAAUAAGCGGAGGA